CAACGGGUGAGUAAUACAUCGGAACGUGUCCGCUCGUGGGGGACAACCAGCCGAAAGGUUGGCUAAUACCGCAUGAGUUCUACGGAAGAAAGAGGGGGACCCGCAAGGGCCUCUCGCGAGCGGAGCGGCCGAUGACUGAUUAGCCGGUUGGUGAGGUAACGGCUCACCAAAGCAACGAUCAGUAGCUGGUCUGAGAGGACGACCAGCCACACUGGGACUGAGACACGGCCCAGACUCCUACGGAAGGCAGCAG
rnacentral:rRNA from 1 species